GUCGAACGGCAGCACGGGUGCUUGCACCUGGUGGCGAGUGGCGAACGGGUGAGUAAUACAUCGGAACAUGUCCUGUAGUGGGGGAUAGCCCGGCGAAAGCCGGAUUAAUACCGCAUACGAUCUACGGAUGAAAGCGGGGGACCUUCGGGCCUCGCGCUAUAGGGUUGGCCGAUGGCUGAUUAGCUAGUUGGUGGGGUAAAGGCCUACCAAGGCGACGAUCAGUAGCUGGUCUGAGAGGACGACCAGCCACACUGGGACUGAGACACGGCCCAGACUCCUACGGGAGGCAGCAGUGGGGAAUUUUGGACAAUGGGCGAAAGCCUGAUCCAGCAAUGCCGCGUGUGUGAAGAAGGCCUUCGGGUUGUAAAGCACUUUUGUCCGGAAAGAAAUCCUUGGCUCUAAUACAGCCGGGGGAUGACGGUACCGGAAGAAUAAGCACCGGCUAACUACGUGCCAGCAGCCGCGGUAAUACGUAGGGUGCAAGCGUUAAUCGGAAUUACUGGGCGUAAAGCGUGCGCAGGCGGUUUGCUAAGACCGAUGUG
rnacentral:rRNA from 1 species